UACAGAGGGUGCAAGCGUUAUUCGGAAUUACUAGGUGUAAAGGGCGCGUAGGUGGCUGGAUAAGUUAGUUGUGAAAUUCCAUGGCUCAACUGUGGAACUGCAACUAAUACUGUUUGGCUUGGGUUUUGGAGGGGAAAGCGGAAUUCCUGGUGUAGCGGUGAAAUGUGUAGAUAUCAGGAGGAAUACCGAGGGCGAAAGCGGCUUUCUGGACAAAUACCGACACUGAGGCGCGAAAGCUAGGGGAGCAAACAGGAUUAGAUACCCUGGUAGUCCUAGCUGUAAACAAUGGUUACUAGGUGUGGGAGGGAUAUCCCUUCCGUGCCGACGCUCACGCAUUAAGUAACCCACCUGGGGAGUACGGCCGCAAGGUUGAA
rnacentral:rRNA from 1 species